rnacentral:rRNA from 1 species
UCAGGGUAMCYUGAAAAWCCNAAAGYGAAAGAGGAAUUUCCAUCGCGGUUMRAUUUUGUCGRAGUUGAGCGUUUCGGCGACGAAUGACGUUUUAUAUGUCGUUUGAGUCAUUCGUUCUUUGAACCGAUAUCGAACGCGUGCACUUUUCCUCUAGUAGGACGUCGCGAUCCGUUGGGUGUCUGUCUAAGACCCGAGGUGGAGUCCACGAAGCGUUUUUCGCUGCGUGAACCCUUGGUGUUCCGGCAGACUCGCUCGACGGUAUGCAAAUGGCGCGAGGCCGCUAAACAAUUAGCGUUCGGCUCGUAGCAAGCACGUUCCGUGUUUGAUGGUGAUCGGACCUAGUGCCGAUUCUGUCCCGGAAUGACUGUUGGUUGCGAUGUUCUCGAACAGACCUCGUUGAAACGCCGAUCUGCGACGCUAUUUKGGUA